AGAGUUUGAUCAUGGCUCAGGAUGAACGCUAGCUACAGGCUUAACACAUGCAAGUCGAGGGGCAGCAUGUUGGUUGCUUGCAACCAAUGAUGGCGACCGGCGCACGGGUGAGUAACGCGUAUCCAACCUACCCUUGUCCAUCGGAUAACCCGUCGAAAGGCGGCCUAACACGAUAUGCGGUUCUCAGCAGGCAUCUAACGAGAACGAAAUGUGAAGGAGAAGGAUGGGGAUGCGUCUGAUUAGCUUGUUGGCGGGGUAACGCCACAAGGCACGAUCAGUAGGGGUUCUGAGAGGAAGGUCCCCCCANAUUGGAACUGAGACACGGUCCAAACUCCUACGGGAGCA
rnacentral:rRNA from 1 species